GAUGAACGCUGGCGGCGUGCCUAAUACAUGCAAGUCGAGCGAACAGACGAUGAGCUUGCGGCUUGGACGUUAGCCGCGGAGGGGUGAGUAACACGUGGAUAACCUACCUAUAAGACUGGUAUAACUUCGGGAAAGCGGAGCUAAUACCGGAGAAGAUAUUGAAGCGCAUGGUGGAAUAGUGAAAGACGGUUGUGGGGGCACGUAUAGAUGGAUCUGAGCCGGAUGGGCGGGUUGGUAAGGUAACGGCUUACCAAGGGAACGAGGCGUAGGCGACGUCAGAGGGUGAUAGGCCACCCGGGAACUGAGACAGGGUCAAGGCUCCUAAGGGAGGCAGCAGUAGGCAAUCUUCCGCAGUGGGCGAAAGCAUGACGGAGCAGCGCCGCGUGAGUGGUGACAGCCUCGGGUGCGUAAAGAUCUGUUAUUGGGGAAAAACAAAUUUCUAAGUAGAUAUGCACGUCUUGACGGUACCUGAUAAGAAAGCCACGGCUAACUACGUG
rnacentral:rRNA from 1 species